GACAUAGGUUGCGAACGUUAUCCGGAAUUAUUGGGCGUAAAGGAUGCGUAGAUGGUUUGAUAAGUUAUCAGUGGCAAAUCGGGGCUCAACCUCGUGGAAGCUGGUAAUACUGUCAUACUCGAGUGCAGGAGAAGUUAACGGAACUCUAUGUGGAGCGGUAAAAUGUGACGAUAUAUAGAAGAACACCAAUAAGGCGAAGGCAGUUAACUAUUCUGUUACUGACAUUGAGGCAUGAAAGCGUGGGGAGCAAAACGG
rnacentral:rRNA from 1 species